rnacentral:rRNA from 1 species
UACGAAGGGGGCUAGCGUUGCUCGGAAUCACUGGGCGUAAAGGGUGCGUAGGCGGUCUUUAAGUCAGGGGUGAAAUCCUGGAGCUCAACUCCAGAACUGCCUUUGAUACUGAAGAUCUUGAGUUCGGGAGAGGUGAGUGGAACUGCGAAGUGUAGAGGUGAAAUUCGUAGAUAUUCGCAAGAACACCAGUGGCGAAGGCGGCUCACUGGCCCGAUACUGACGCUGAGGCACGAAAGCGUGGGAGCAACAGG